GAAAAGAAACCAACAGGGAUUGCCCCAGUAACGGCGAGUGAAGCGGCAACAGCUCAAAUUUGAAAUCUGGCCCUCGGGUCCGAGUUGUAAUUUGGAGAGGAUGCUUUUGGCGCGGCGCCGUCCGAGUUCCUUGGAACAGGACGCCAUAGAGGGUGAGAGCCCCGUACGGGCGGCCGCCUAGCCUUUGUAAAGCUCCUUCGACGAGUCGAGUAGUUUGGGAAUGCUGCUCAAAAUGGGAGGUAAAUUUCUUCUAAAGCUAAAUACCGGCCAGAGACCGAUAGCGCACAAGUAGAGUGAUCGAAAGAUGAAAAGCACUUUGAAAAGAGGGUUAAAAAGUACGUGAAAUUGUUGAAAGGGAAGCGCCUGUGACCAGACUUGCGGCCCGUGGAUCAUCCGGUGUUCUUCACCGGUGCACUCCGCGGGCUGCAGGCCAGCAUCGGUUUUCCUAGGGGGAUAAAGGUCGCGGGAACGUAGCUCCCUCGGGAGUGUUAUAGCCCGUGGCGUCAUGCCUCUGGGGGGACCGAGGACCGCGCUUCGGCAAGGAUGCUGGCGUAAUGG
rnacentral:rRNA from 1 species